UACGGAGGGGGCUAGCGUUGUUCGGAAUUACUGGGCGUAAAGCGCACGUAGGCGGUCUUUUAAGUCGGGGGUGAAAUCCUGGAGCUCAACUCCAGAACUGCCUUCGAUACUGGAAGACUUGAGUCCGGGAGAGGUGAGUGGAACUGCGAGUGUAGAGGUGAAAUUCGUAGAUAUUCGCAAGGACACCAGUGGCGAAGGCGGCUCACUGGCCCGGUACUGACGCUGAGGUGCGAAAGCGUGGGGAGCAAACAGG
rnacentral:rRNA from 1 species